rnacentral:tRNA from 1 species
GCGGGAGUAACUCAGUUGGAAGAGUCCCUGCCUUCCAAGCAGGUUGUCGUGGGUUCGAGUCCCAUCUCCCGCUCCA